GACGAACGCUGGCGGCGUGCCUAAUACAUGCAAGUCGAGCGGGGUUCCUUCGGGAACCUGGCGGCGAACGGGUGAGUAACACGUGGGCAACCUGCCCUCAAGCCUGGGAUAACUCCGGGAAACCGGUGCUAAUACCAGAUAAUAAUUGCUUCCGCAUGGAAGCUUUGUAAAAGUUUUUCGCUUGAGGAUGGGCCCGCGGUGCAUUAGCUUGUUGGUGGGGUAAUGGCCUACCAAGGCGACGAUGCUUAGCCGACCUGAGAGGGUGACCGGCCACACUGGGACUGAGACACGGCCCAGACUCCUACGGGAGGCAGCAGUAGGGAAUUUUCCGCAAUGGGCGAAAGCCUGACGGAGCAACGCCGCGUGAGUGAUGACGGCCUUCGGGUUGUAAAGCUCUGUUCUUAGGGAAGAAGUUCUGACGGUACCUAAGGAGAAAGCCCCGGCUAACUACGUGCCAGCCGCCGCCGUAA
rnacentral:rRNA from 1 species